CCUACGGGGGGCAGCAGUGGGGAAUAUUGCGCAAUGGGCGAAAGCCUGACGCAGCGACGCCGCGUGAGGGAUGAAGGUUUUCGGAUCGUAAACCUCUGUCAGGGGGGAAGAAACCCCCUCGUGUGAAUAAUGCGAGGGCUUGACGGUACCCCCAAAGGAAGCACCGGCUAACUCCGUGCCAGCAGCCGCGGUAAUACGGAGGGUGCAAGCGUUAAUCGGAAUCACUGGGCGUAAAGCGCACGUAGGCGGCUUGGUAAGUCAGGGGUGAAAUCCCACAGCCCAACUGUGGAACUGCCUUUGAUACUGCCAGGCUUGAGUACCGGAGAGGGUGGCGGAAUUCCAGGUGUAGGAGUGAAAUCCGUAGAUAUCUGGAGGAACACCGGUGGCGAAGGCGGCCACCUGGACGGUAACUGACGCUGAGGUGCGAAAGCGUGGGUAGCAAACAGGCUUAGAUACCCCAGUAGUC
rnacentral:rRNA from 1 species